GAUAAACGCUGGCGGCGUGCCUAAUACAUGCAAGUCGAGCGAACAGAUGAGAAGCUUGCUUCUCUGAUGUUAGCGGCGGACGGGUGAGUAACACGUGGGUAACCUACCUAUAAGACUGGGAUAACUCCGGGAAACCGGGGCUAAUACCGGAUAAUAUUUUGAACCGCAUGGUUCGAUAGUGAAAGACGGUUUCGGCUGUCACUUAUAGAUGGACCCGCGCCGUAUUAGCUAGUUGGUAAGGUAACGGCUUACCAAGGCGACGAUACGUAGCCGACCUGAGAGGGUGAUCGGCCACACUGGAACUGAGACACGGUCCAGACUCCUACGGGAGGCAGCAGUAGGGAAUCUUCCGCAAUGGGCGAAAGCCUGACGGAGCAACGCCGCGUGAGUGAUGAAGGUCUUCGGAUCGUAAAACUCUGUUGUUAGGGAAGAACAAAUUUGUUAGUAACUGAACAAGUCUUGACGGUACCUAACCAGAAAGCCACGGCUAACUACGUGCCAGCAGCCGCGGUAA
rnacentral:rRNA from 1 species